UGUUUGAAGUAGAGGAUAUCAAAGGUGAUGAUGUAUCCUUCUUCGCCUCGCGUUUCAUCAAUGAUUGGUAGAAUUCAACUAAUUCAGGAGCGCGAUGGACCUUAUCACCUCCAGCUCCUCCUUUCAUUAGAGAUCCAGGAGGAGGAGGUGGUCUAGGAGCUCCUCCACCAGGUGGCGGCGGCGGUGGUGGAGCACCAGGCGGAGGAGGUGGUGGGGGUGGACCACCAGGUGCCCCACCUGUAACAUUAUUACCAGCUGGAGCGGGACCACCUGCUGAUCGUGUAGGAGGUGGACGAGGAGUCCUAGGAGGUCUUUUCUCAAUAUUAAUUGGUUUCAUUUUGCUAACUGCUUGAGAGUCAGUUUUGCUAUCACCGGACUGCUCAACUGAGUCACCAGAGGCAGAGACCACUGGCGCUGAUGCUGAUGCUGAUACUGAU
rnacentral:lncRNA from 1 species